CUGGGUUCUAUACAGAGCCUUAGACAUGGUAUAGACAGACAGACAGACCGACAAAUCUACUUAAGAAUGACCUGGGUUUCAUUUUAAAGUCAUACAAAAAUAUAUCUUUGCUCAAUUAGCUGGAAUGUUGUAUUUUUUGAAAACACUUUUAAAUGGCAAUAAUCAGAGACAUAUUACUCUAAGACAACUACUUGAGAUAUCUUAGUUCCCAAAAAGGUUCUUUGUAAACCAGGAAUUAACUAUUUUUAAUAUACUUGGAUCUGAAGUUUUAAUGACCCACACUUCAGUAUUCUGUCAACUGCUCCAGAAUCGUUGUCAUAGUUACCUAGUAUCAGGAACAUAAAGCUAAAUAAAUUUCAAUACAAUCUUAACCCAUUGCAAUUUCUGAAGUGAUACAUUUUAAUAGGUUUUGCAACAUCAGAGGCC
rnacentral:lncRNA from 1 species